rnacentral:rRNA from 1 species
UACGUAGGGCGCAAGCGUUGUCCGGAAUUAUUGGGCGUAAAGAGCUCGUAGGCGGCUUGUCGCGUCUGCUGUGAAAUCCCGGGGCUUAACCCCGGGCGUGCAGUGGAUACGGGCAGGCUAGAGGCAGGCAGGGGAGAACGGAAUUCCCGGUGUAGCGGUGAAAUGCGCAGAUAUCGGGAGGAACACCGGUGGCGAAGGCGGUUCUCUGGGCAUGUCCUGACGCUGAGGAGCGAAAGUGUGGGGAGCGAACAGG